AGGACUAUACUUUCAGGGAUCAUUCUAUAGUUCGUUACUAGAGAAGUUUCUCUGAUCGUGUAGAGCACCAAAAGGACGUUUAUUUCUCUAAUUC
rnacentral:snoRNA from 1 species